CUCUCCUCUUCUCCCUCUCCAUUUUUGAGUAAGUUUGCCUGUCAGCCAUGGCCUAUUUUUGCCAUGUCCUUUUCGUGCAACUUCUUGCUUUUCUUUGCAGCAGACUCGGACAAAUGAGGACACAGCCCUUAUCAUUUUACCAAGAAAUUUCCUGGAAACUCACCCGUUAUUAUCCCUUUCUCCCCAAGAAUACCCAUAUAUAUCACAUUUGCACGAUAUAACAGAGGGAGAACGGAGAGAAUAGGGCACAUUCCGAGAACACACGAAAAGGGGAUUGGGGGACGGAAAACAGAGAACGCAUGGAGGGACAAGAGGGAAAUCGGGUAGUUUUGAGCAAAAGGGGGUCCUCAUCAACCUUUUUUCUACAGUUUUCUUCUUCAUUAAGAGCAAAUGUUUAACCCCAAAAUAGUCCCAAAAUCUCCCGUGAAACAGUCCUAAAGAGCAGCAAAAUCAGCCACGAAAACCAGUCGAGCAACCAAACUCCGUCGAAGAUCCGGCGAGGCUUCUAUGUCGAGGCUCCGAUUCGUUGCUUUGGCGUUUCAGUCCGCCGAUCGUUGCUCCGUUCGGGCGGAUUGAGAUGUAAAUUUUCAGGUCCAUUCACUUCCAUUUUUUCUCGGUACUUGCUUACAUUUAAAGUAUACACUUGCUUUGAUUUUUUUUUUUUUUAAGUGUUUUCUAUUUGCUCGUGAUAGAUUUUAUUUGCUCUUUUAAAAAUACUUGAUCUCUUUCAUAUUAAUUGCGUUACUGGUUUCGUAUUAUUUGGGAUAUAUAUUUUGUUUUAAUGGAUUAACUCAUUUGAGUACAUGUAAGUUCAGUUGGUUGAUUUCUAAGUAUUUAAAUCUUUCUGAUAUGAGGUUCAACUUUAAAGUAGUUUGAUUAUUUUGAAUUUUUUUUAAAUACUGUUUUAAAAAAAAGCGUUAUCAAUGACGUAAACAAAAAAGUUUUAUAAAUAUUUUAGUGUUAAGUUUUCUUUUUCAUUUCUUUUAGUGACUCAUGUGAUUCGUAAUUCUUCAUAUGAGGUAAUUUUUUCAGUUUACAAUAGUCAAAGAUGAUAACCAAGUCAACUAUAAUAAGAUUAAAAGGAAGUAUAUGUACCAUCACUUAUAUAUACGUGAUCUGAAAUCAAAAGGGACAAUACAGUAAAUAUAGACGAAAGUUAAUAAAGCAGCUAAGAUAAAUCAUACGUGGUAGUCAAUGAGAAUGCAUAGUCUGGAGCAAGGCGACACAAGGACAGUAACACUAUCUAGUAUUUAUUAUAGAAUAUCAAUUACAAUUUGAUCAAUUCAAAGAUAAGUACUGUAAUCUCACAUCAUCCUGACAUUUCUACUAUAUUAUGCAAAAAUAAUUUAAAAGUUAUUUGACUAAUACCAAUAAUGUAUCUCUCUUAACAUUACAUGUUCCUUUGUGAUGCAAUUUAUUACAAGCAUUACCUAACGUCACAUUGUAUUCAAUGUGUUAUUUCAAGUGAAAUAAUAAUUUUCAUUUGCAAACCUUGAAUUUUUGUUUCUAGAAAAUUAGUGUACAAGCACAAAUAGCAUUUUUCAAUUUUAACUUCAACUUCAAAUAAAUUAUUUUCAAGUUCAACUAAAUAUUAUCCAAAUGUGUGCUAAGAUAAAUAAAAUCCAAAGUGAAUAUUAAUGAGAUUAAUUUAGUAUUACCAAGUCAAAUAGGUUUCUCAAUUAAUUUCCAAAAAAGGUUAAAAAGGUAUAUCCUAAUUUACCUUCAAAAAUAUUUUACUCAUGGGUAAACUUAAAAAAAUUGGGACCAAAAAGUCAUCAAAACUAUAGGUAUAAAAGCUUUUAUUGGCUAGGAACAAGAUUACAUUAAGGGGUCGUUUGGUUUAAAUACGGCUUAUGCCAGAAUAAGUUAUGUCGGGAUAGAUUAUUUGGAUUAGUUAUGUCGGAUUAAUUAUAAUAUUUUUUAUUCAAACACACGUUCUAGCUUAAAAUGCAGUCAGGUUUGAAAGAAAGGAAAUUUUAGCGGGGCCCAUAGGUUCAUAGAUCUUAAGCCACAUGUAUAUGCAUUUUGGGGAUACGGUUUAAAAGGAACCAAUAAGAUGAUGCAACCUGGAGCGGGACGACCCCAAAUUCCUCAAGUUUGUGGCUUCUAUAUAAGUAAGUAGUAAUAGUAAUGUUACAUUUCUUUUGUUUUAGCAUGUUGAAGUGGUGAUUCAAGUGGGCUGGUAAAUUAGACAAAUGGAAAAAUUAGAGUUGUUUCUUUCUUGGCAGGAACAAGAAUAGGCCAUGAGCGUGUUAAGUUAAAAGAAUGUCAUUUUGUGCUCGUUAAUUUGAUCUACUUGCUUUAUAAGCAAUAAUUAGAAUAAUUCCAAAAGUAGAGCAUUAUCAAUUUAUUAAGUUGUAACAUCUUAAUGGCUCUAUAGAACAGAUAACCUUCUUAAUGAUAAAAGUAGCUAAUUUAUACCAUGUCCUCCAGUAAUUUCUAUAACUCUGAAGCCUAACAAUAAUUCGAGACGUGAAUGAUCAAUCUAUGAAUAUCGCUAGACGCUUUAGGCGAGAUUAAUAAAUAAAUUAUCAUGGCUAUGGGUACGGCUCCCGCAGCAUGUCUAUGAUACAUUAAUCCCAAGUUCAAGUGUGCCCUCGUGUGCCUUGAUUCUCAACUUCAAAUAAUAAUAAACAUGUUGUAAAUCGUGGGUGCGUUUCACAUGGCGUGAUUUGCAAUGCAAAACAAGUGUGCGACAUUGCAUCUUGUUUCAAUAAAUUCCAUAAUAAAUAAUAAUAAUUAAAAGUGGUAAAAGACGGAAUGUACAUAAGUCUUAAAACAUGUAAUAAUCCGGAUAAUUGAGCCAAGUGUAAUUUGUUAAGCGACCGUGUUAAAAUCACGGAAUUCGAGAGUGUCUCACACCUUCUCCCGAGUUAACAGAAUUCUUUAUCCAUUUUCUGUGUUUUGCUGACUAUAAACAAAGUCAUAAUUUUCCUUGAAUUGGAAUUUUGAAAUUGGUGACUUGGAACACCGUAAUUAAAUAAUUCUAAGUGGUGAUUCUUUAAAAUUAAUUAAAUUAAUCCCUUUUCAAAUAAUGUCACUUCAAUUGGAUUUUUUUUUUCUUUCCACAACCCGGAAAAAAUGAGGUGUGACAAAUACCGGAGCUAAAAAGUCUCUCGUUUUAAGACUUGACGACUUCGCUGCCAGAUUAAGGCACCAAGGAUUCGGAGCAAAACACUUACCUAGCCUUUUCUCCCUUUUAGAUGGAAAUCAAC
rnacentral:lncRNA from 1 species